CGUAAAGCGCGCGUAGGCGGUCUGUUAAGUCUGAUGUGAAAGCCCCCGGCUCAACCGGGGAGGGUCAUUGGAACUGGCAGACUUGAGUGCAGAAGAGGAGAGUGGAAUUCCAUGUGUAGCGGUGAAAUGCGCAGAGAUAUGGAGGAACACCAGUGGCGAAGGCGGCUCUCUGGUCUGCAACUGACGCUGAGGUGCGAAAGCGUGGGGAUCAAACAGGAUUAGAUACCCUGGUAGUCCACGCCGUAAACGAUGAGUGCUAAGUGUUAGGGGGUUUCCGCCCCUUAGUGCUGCAGCUAACGCAUUAAGCACUCCGCCUGGGGAGUACGGCCGCAAGGCUGAAACUCAAAGGGAAUUGACGGGGACCCGCACAAGCGGUGGAGCAUGUGGUUUAAUUCGAAGCAACGCGAAGAACCUUACCAAAUCUUGACAUCCUCUGACCGCCCUGGAGACAGGGCUUCCCUUCGGGGCAGAGUGACAGGUGGUGCAUGGUUGUCGUCAGCUCGUGUCGUGAGAUGUUGGGUUAAGUCCCGCAACGAGCGCAACCCUUAUUACUAGUUGCCAGCAUUCGGUUGGGCACUCUAGUGAGACUGCCGGUGACAAACCGGAGGAAGGUGGGGAUGACGUCAAAUCAUCAUGCCCCUUAUGAUUUGGGCUACACACGUGCUACAAUGGGCAGGAACAAAGGGCAGCGAGACCGCGAGGUGGAGCGAAUCCCAUAAAACUGUUCCCAGUUCGGAUUGGAGU
rnacentral:rRNA from 1 species